AAGGGUGUAGCUCAGUGGUAGAGCGCAUGCUUAGCAUGCACAAGGUCCUGGGUUCAAUCCCCAGUCCCUCCA
rnacentral:tRNA from 1 species